CUCUUCUCUUCCAUUCCAGUUACCUUUCUCUUUCUUCCUUUUUCUUCUCCCUUCCGUGGCUCCCUGUCCCUGGGGAUGCGAAGACGGUGAGAUCAACAGCUGCGCGGCGCAGCUCCCGGUGGUGAGCUCCGCUCUCCCUGGCCCCCGAGAGUUGCCGUCGGCGAGCAUCUCGCGCGGCCGCCCGCGGGUGCAGCUGCUCCGCGAGUAGCGAGCGGUGGGGGACACGGCGGCCUCAGGUGACGGUGAGCGCGCGGCCCAGGCGACGGCGCAGCUGCCCCGCCGAAGCAGACGGCGGUGACGAGCACCACCACUCCCGACGGAUCCCUUUCUCUCUCAGUUUUUUCCCCAAAAAUUGUGUGUCUAUAUUUUGUUUUGGAAUUUAUGUUCCAAAUUUUGGCUCCAAAUCUUUGUUCCAAUAUUUCUCAUCGAUUUUUUGUUCAUCUAAUUAUGGUCAUAAUUUAUGUUUGGUAUAAUUUGUUCAUAAUUUAUGCAUUGUUU
rnacentral:lncRNA from 1 species